rnacentral:rRNA from 1 species
UUAAAUUGAAGAGUUUGAUCAUGGCUCAGAUUGAACGCUGGCGGCAGGCCUAACACAUGCAAGUAGAA